rnacentral:rRNA from 1 species
UACGUAGGGUGCGAGCGUUAAUCGGAAUUACUGGGCGUAAAGCGUGCGCAGGCGGUUUUGUAAGUCUGUCGUGAAAUCCCCGGGCUCAACCUGGGAAUGGCGAUGGAGACUAGCAAGGCUAGAGUUUGGUAGAGGGGGGUAGGAAUUCCACGUGUAGCAGUGGAAAUGCGUAGAUAUGAUGGAGGAACACCGAUGGCGAAGGCAGCCCCCUGGGUCAAACUGACGCUCAUGACACGAAAGCGUGGGGAGCAACAGG